rnacentral:rRNA from 1 species
AACGUAGGAGACAAACGUUAUCCGGAGUUACUGGGCGUAAAGGGCGUGUAGGUGGUUUCGUAAGUCUGGCGUGAAAUAUCUCGGCUUAACCGAGGCAGGUCGUCGGAUACUGCGGGACUAGAGGACGGUAGAGGCGUGUGGAAUUCCGGGUGUAGUGGUGAAAUGCGUAGAGAUCCGGAGGAACACCAGUGGCGAAGGCGACACGCUGGGCCGUACCUGACACUGAUGCGCGGACAGCAUGGGGGAGCAAAGCAG